rnacentral:lncRNA from 1 species
GAUGGAAUAGUUGUAACAAACCUAAUGAUCUAUUUUUUUUAACAGAAAAAAGUCCACUGAUCAUUAAUAGUAAUAAACCACCCUCUGACUCAGUAAUUACUACCCUCUCAUCCCUAUUGGCCAAUAAGGCUGGUGCAGCCUAAUCGAAGAAAAACAAAAACCACACAAAAAUUAAAAUGAUAAGUCAUUUGAAAAAAAACCAAAACAAAAUAAAACCUAACAAUAAAACAGAGGGCAGUUGAAACAAUUUCCAUUUCUUUCCCAAAAAUCCGAUUCAACCAGUGGGUAAUUCGGCAAUCCAAUCUUGCAAUCUUCCUUUUUUUAUGAGUAGCUGAUAGUCCUGAUUGCUUGUUUCCUUGCCGAUCCAUAACUCAUCAGGAUUUUUAAACUCAUUUUCCCCGAUUUCAUUCCGCAUUUUUCUCAUUUCCAUCCAUCAGCCUUCGUCGUCUAUCCUCCGCAACCACCUCUUCCACUCUCGCCGGAGCCUCUUCGACCCAGUACCUGGCCG